UAUACACUUGGUUCACUUGAAGAACUGUUUAUCAAUGUAGAAUUGUCAUUGUUGAAAGGUGCAAAAAUAAGGGAAAGUCUAUGGCAAAGGGAAGACUUCUGCUUUCUAGAGCUCUUCACUACAGCCCUGGAAAAAAAUAAGCCUCAAGAGCUAACGAAGAAUGAAUUGUUGGCUUCUGCCUUAUUUCAUCUCUGCCACAAGACUGGAAAUGCCUCAAAGUGAGAAGUGCUCAUUUCCUGAGAGUGACCUCAAAGCAAAAGGUUCAGUUAAUUCUAGCUUUCAAAGCCCUCACAGGAUUUCUGUCAUGGAUCAGUGGCACCUUCCAGGAGGGAGUGAGGUCAGUGGACAUCCUUGGUAU